UGGGGAAUUUUGCACAAUGGGGGAAACCCUGAUGCAGCGACGCCGCGUGAUUUAGAAGGCCUUCGGGUUGUAAAAAUCUUUUCUAUGGGAAGAAAAUGACAGUACCAUAGGAAUAAGGACCGGCUAAUUACGUGCCAGCAGCCGCGGUAAUACGUAAGGUCCGAGCGUUGUCCGGAAUCAUUGGGCGUAAAGGGUACGUAGGCGGGUAAGUAAGUUAGAAGUGAAAUCCUAUAGCUCAACUAUAGUAAGCUUUUAAAACUGCUCAUCUUGAGGUAUGGAAGGGAAAGUGGAAUUCCUGGUGUAGCGAUGAAAUGCGCAGAUAUUAGUGGGAAUACCGGUGGCGAAGGCGACUUUCUGGCCAUAACCUGACGCUGAGGUACGAAAGCGUGGGUAGCAAACAAG
rnacentral:rRNA from 1 species